CGUACAGGAGUCUAGCCUCUCAGCAGGGCUGCCUCUUGCUCUCCUACAUUGAAACCUCUUCCACUCAGAACGUCAAUUCUACCCAGCGGAGAAGCACUUCCCUUAAUCCAGGGAACAUCUGCUGUGAAGCUGGGUAAUGGUUUGUGCUGAUGCUGAUGAAUGGCAAGAAUCAGAAGAAAAUGUUGAACACAUCCCCUUCUCUCAUAACCACUAUCCUGAGAAGGAAAUGGUUAAGAGGUCUCAGGAAUUUUAUGAACUUCUCAAUAAGAGACGGUCAGUCAGGUUCAUAAGUAAUGAGCAAGUCCCAAUGGAAGUCAUUGAUAAUGUCAUCAGAACGGCAGGUUUGUAAUUGCAGAUGGGGUCUUUGGAAAUGUUAGUCACCUUACUGGUGUGACUCCAACAAUGGAAAAAUGUCAAAGUUUAAACAUAGCGAAUAAAGCCUAGAGUGAUAUGUUUAUCUA
rnacentral:lncRNA from 1 species